rnacentral:rRNA from 1 species
GAUGAACGCUGGCGGCGUGCCUAAUACAUGCAAGUCGAGCGAACAGACGAGGAGCUUGCUCCUUUGAUGUUAGCGGCGGACGGGUGAGUAACACGUAGGUAACCUACCUAUAAGACUGGGAUAACUUCGGGAAACCGGAGCUAAUACCGGAUAAUAUUUUGAACCGCAUGGUUCGAUAGUGAAAGACGGCUUUGCUAUCACUUAUAGAUGGACCUGCGCCGUAUUAGCUAGUUGGUAAGGUAACGGCUUACCAAGGCAACGAUACGUAGCCGACCUGAGAGGGUGAUCGGCCACACUGGAACUGAGACACGGUCCAGACUCCUACGGGAGGCAGCAGUAGGGAAUCUUCCGCAAUGGGCGAAAGCCUGACGGAGCAACGCCGCGUGAGUGAUGAAGGUCUUCGGAUCGUAAAACUCUGUUAUUAGGGAAGAACAAACGUGUAAGUAACUGUGCACGUCUUGACGGUACCUAAUCAGAAAGCCACGGCUAACUACGUG